rnacentral:rRNA from 1 species
UACAGAGGGUGCAAGCGUUGUUCGGAAUUAUUGGGCGUAAAGGGUGCGUAGGCGGUCGCGCAAGUCGGAUGUGAAAUCUCAGGGCUCAACCCUGAAACUGCAUUCGAUACUGCGUGGCUAGAGUGCUGGAGAGGAGACUGGAAUUUACGGUGAGCAGUGAAAUGCGUAGAUAUCGUAAGGAAGACCAGUGGCGAAAGGCGAGUCUCUGGACAGCAACUGACGCUGAGGAGCGAAAGCCAGGGGAGCAAAACGGG